CCCUUAGAUGUCCUGGGCCGCACGCGCGUUACACUGAUGCAUUCAACGAGCUUAUAACCUUGGCCGAGAGGCCUGGGCAAUCUUGUUAACGUGCAUCGUGAUAGGGAUAGAUCAUUGCAAUUAUUGAUCUUGAACGAGGAAUUCCUAGUAAACGCGAGUCAUCAGCUCGCAUUGAUUACGUCCCUGCCCUUUGUACACACCGCCCGUCGCACCUACCGAUUGAAUGUUUCGGUGAAGAUUCCGGAUAGGACUUUUUUGAUUUAUUUCAAUUUUGUCUUAAAAGCUAUCUAAACCUCAACAUUUAGAGGAAGGUGAAGUCGUAACA
rnacentral:rRNA from 1 species